AUGACUAUUGUGCUGCUAUAUGAAGCACCCGUUGGCAUUGCAAUUUUCUCUUUUGAUGGGGACUACUUCAAUGAUCCAGCAAAGAGUUUGAAAGAAUUUGUACAAAAUGAGACGGUGCCCUCCCUAGUUGACAUAGCUAAUAAUGCUAUUGACGAUCACCUGGCCAAGAGGCUCACUGACUUGUGUGGUUAUGAGAAGAAAUUAGUUGAAGGGUGUACCGAAUGUAAAGUAAUAAUUGGUGAACAAUAUAUUGAUCACGAUUUGAUUUUUCAUGGAAUAACAUGUCUGCAUGUUGACGUUCCGGAUUGUGAGAUGAGAAUUUGCACUAAAAAGAAGCCCAUGCGUACUUUAUCGCCUAAAAGACUAUCAGAUCCUACUAAAGAUUCAACGAUAUUCUUACAUCAACUUGGCAUUACUUGCAAGCUCGACAAGCAUUAA
rnacentral:rRNA from 1 species